rnacentral:rRNA from 1 species
GAAACGACUCUAAGACUGGAUAGGAAAAGUGAAGGCAUCUUUACUUUUUUAAAAGACCUUCUUUGAAGGUAUGCUUAAGGAGGGGCUUGCGACACUUAGUUAGUUGGCAGGGUAAAGGCCUACCAAGACUAUGAUGGUAGCUGGACUGAGAGGUUGAACAGCCACAUUGGGACUGAGACACGGCCCAAACUCCUACGGGAGGCAGCAGUAGGGAAUUUUCGCAAUGGAGGAAACUCUGACCGAGCAACGCCGCGUGAACGAUGAGUACCUCGGUAUGUAAAGUUCUUUUAUUAAGGAAGAAAAAAGAGUGGAAAAACUCCCUUGACGGUACUUAAUGAAUAAGCCCCGCUAAUUAUGUGCCAGCAGCCGCGGUAAUACAUAAGGGGCGAGGUUAUCCGGAAUUAUUGGGCGUAAAGGGUGCGUAGGGCGGUUUAAUAAGUCUAUAGUUUAAUUUCAGCGCUUAACGCUGUUGUCUAUAGAAACUGUUUUACUAGAGUGAGAUAGAGGCAAGCGGAAUCCAUGUGUAGCGGUAAAAUGCGUAAAUAUAUGGAGGAACAUCAGAGGCGUAGGCGGCUUGCUGGGUCUUUACUGACGCUGAGCACGAAAGCGUGGGGAGCAAACAGGAUUAGAUACCCUGGUAGUCCCGCCGUAAACGAUGAGUACUAAGUGUCGGGUAAAACCGGUACUGAAGUUAACACAUUAAGUACUCCGCCUGAGGAGUACGUCGCAAGUAUGAAACUUAAAGGAAUUGACGGGACUCCGCACAAGCGGGGAUCAUGUUGUUUAAUUCGAAGAUACACGAAAAACCUUACCAGGUCUUGACAUUUUCUUGCGAAGUUAUAGAAAUAUAAGGAGGUUAUCAGGAAAACAGGUGGUGCAUGGUUGUCGUCAGCUCGUGCGUGAGAUGUUAGGUUAAGUCCUAAAACGAGCGCAACCCUUGUCGUUAAUUGCCAGCAUGUAAUGAUGGGGACUUUAACAGACUGCCAAUGAAAAAUUGGAGGAAGGUGGGGAUUACGUCAAAUCAUCAUGCCCCUUAUGAUCUGGGCUACAAACGUGAUACAAUGGUUGAUACAAAGAGUAGCUGAAACGUGAGUUCUUAGCCACUCACAAAAUCAAUCUCAGUUCGGAUUGAAGUCUGCAACUCGACUUCAUGAAGUUGGAAUCGCUAGUAAUCGUGGAUCAGCAUGUCGCGGUGAAUACGUUCGCGGGGUUUGUACACACCGCCCGUCA